AUGAUGCAUAUGGUGGUGUCUCGUCUUGAUGAUAAUGCUGGGUCUACCUCGAUGUUCUUCAAUGUCCAUGUGUCGUGGGUGACGGCAAUGCCCAGCCUCCCGCGCACCUCCGUCAGGUGGAGGUCGACCAGCUUGGCCGGCUUGGGGAGUGGCUUGAUGAACGUGACGGACUCGUCCUCAUGGUUGAGCGACAUGACCUUCUCGGUGCCCUCCGUGACCAUGUACGUCGAGCCGUCGACGCUCGUGAGCCCGACGGCGAGGCUGCAGCUCGUGCUCCUAGGCACGGCCACCGCCACAUCGCGCCACGACUUCUCCCCUAGCGUGAACGUCUGCACCUUGUCGAACUCCCAGAGCCGGUCGAAGCUGCACGGGACAUGGACGACGGCGUACGUACCUGCCGAUCACCGGGUGGUACGCAAAGCUGUACGCCUCAUGCGAGCUCUGGGCUUGACUCGUGAACAGGCCGUCGCACGGCAACGGCGGGAUGGCCAGCACCGCUCCGGUGACCGGGUUGGCCAGAGCGAUGGCGCCGCCGGGCUUGGUGUUGUCGCACAGGCAGAGCAGGCCGUUGCGCGUGCCGACCACCUCCAUGCGCCCGCAGGGGUGGUCCUCGUCGCUUGUCCACAGCUCCCUGCGGCCCUGCUCCGCCACGCCGGCGACGUACGCGGCGCCCCUUGCGACCACGAGGGCCUUGGGGCGGCUCCGCAUCUCGGCGGUCCGCCGGUCGACCAGGUCGCGCCAGAGGUGGGAGACGAGGCGGAACCGUCGCCGGGCGCUCGGUGGGAGCCGCAGCAGAAUCUCCACCACGAGGUCGGCGGGGCCCUCGUCCAUUGCAGGUUGCAGCUGCGACGGUGGCCUCGUCGUCGACGAUGGGUGUCGCCAAUGAGUCUUGCGUCUCCGCAUGGUAUUAUCGCCGUAUUUCAAGUAGUGAAAAGGGAAAUGAUUCCGGCGAUUAAGACCGCAUAA
rnacentral:rRNA from 1 species